UUAAGUGGACAGUCCAGACUGAUGUCAUGAAAUGGAGUCUGUAUGACACGCCAAUUCGUAUGUCAUUAUUGGCGUGUUAUCAAGACGCAUACUCGCUUUUUAGCGUGU